rnacentral:lncRNA from 1 species
GCAGUUCCAACCCUGGGCAGCCCUAAGUAAGAGUCAUCAGAAGCUUCCAGGCAAUUGUCACUGAAAAAUAAGUGCUAUAGCACUACCUCAGCUGCUGCAACCACAGACCUCAUUCAGAAAUCUUUAUUGUAUUAACCCUUGUGUGUCCGGAAUUGGUGGGUUCUUGGUCUCACUGACUUCAAGAAUGAAGCCUGGGACACUCACGGAACUGCACUACAUGACCAGAUCCCAGAGGGUGGUUGUCUGGAGGAGAGGAAUGUUGCCUGGUGUAAUCAUGGACCUUCUAUCUGCUUAUGGUGUUUUCAACAUCAGCAGAGCUGAAGUCAUAUCAAGGGGAUAGAGAAAUUCUACUUUUCUCACACAACUUUAGCAACUGGAAGCUUAUCUCUGGCUGAUUCUGGCAAAGGAAGAAGAAAGGAUGCAAUGUGAUGAAUUGUUUCUAAAGGUGUAAGCCUGAAGCUGGAAUAAUUGUAAAGGUAUCCCCAUUUAUAAUAAUGUUGCUUCAGCACUUCCCUGCAGAUGCUUCCUUCUUUUAGCUCCUUACAGAAAUAGAGAGAUUUUUGUUCUUUUUAAAAAGUUUCCAUUUCCAUUUGCUAAAUGAGCCAAUUUAACUUAUAAAAAGAGAUUUAAAAAAGAAUAAAUAUAAAAUAUUGAUAUAUAUUUUGGAAACUCUGGAUUUAUGUUCUGUUCACUCUCUUAACAAUUCAACUUGGUCAUUCUGAUCAGAACAUGUUCUUUUAUUUUCUCCAGUGGUCAACAUUAUACAUUUUAUCCAUUAGUGAAAAAUCUACCCAUUCAUUUGUUUAUAAUGAAGUAUGAAAUAAAGACCAAACAAUUAGAAA